rnacentral:rRNA from 1 species
UUUUUGGAGGGUUUGAUUCUGGCUCAGAACGAACGCUGGCGGCGUGGAUCAGGCAUGCAUGUCGAACGGUUCCGCAAGGAAUAGUGGCAAACGGAUGAGUAAUACGUAGGUAACCUACCCCAGACAUGGGGAUAGCAUUGUGAAAACGAUGGUAAUACCGGAUACGCUGCAUCGGUAAUUCCGAUGUAGGAAAGGUGGCCGCAAGGCUGCCGGUCAGGGAGGGGCUUACGGCCUAUUAGCUAGUUGGUAGGGUAAUGGCCUACCAAGGCAAAGAUGGGUACCCGGGCUGAGAGGCUGGUCGGGCAUAUUGGGACUGAGACACUGCCCAGACUCCUACGGGAGGCUGCAGUCGAGGAUCUUUCGCAAUGGGGGAAACCCUGACGACGCGACGCCGCGUGGACGAUGAAGGCCUUCGGGUUGUAAAGUCCUGUCACUAGGGAGGAAUAGUACCGGUAUUAAUACCAUCGGUACCAGACAUUACCUGGAGAGGAAGUACCGGCUAACUCCGUGCCAGCAGCCGCGGUAAUACGGAGGGUACAAGCGUUGUUCGGAAUCACUGGGCGUAAAGGGUGCGUAGGCGGAUGGGUAAGUGAAACGUGAAAGCCUGAGGCUCAACCUCAGAACGGCAUUUCAAACUACCUGUCUUGAGUGCGAAAGAGGUAAGUGGAAUUCUCAGUGUAGCGGUGAAAUGCGUAGAUAUUGAGAGGAACACCAGCGGUGAAAACGGCUUACUAUUUUGUUGCUGACGCUGAGGCACGAAGGUAUGGGGAGCAAACAGGAUUAGAUACCCUGGUAGUCCAUACAGUAAACGAUGUCAACUUGGUGUGGGGAAUUUCGACCUUCUCUGUGCCGGAGCUAACGUGUUAAGUUGACCGCCUGGGGAGUACGGCCGCAAGGUUAAAACUCAAAGAAAUUGACGGGGGCCCGCACAAGCGGUGGAGCAUGUGGUUUAAUUCGA